GACGUAGGGCGCAAGCGUUGUCCGGAUUUAUUGGGCGUAAAGAGCUCGUAGGCGGCUUGCCACGUCUGCCGUGAAAACCAGCAGCUUAACUGUUGGCUUGCGGUUGAUACGGGUUGGCUGGAGUUCGGUAGGGGAGACUGGAAUUCCUGGUGUAGCGGUGAAAUGCGUAGAUAUCAGAAGGAACGCCGGUGGCGAAAGCGACUCUCUGGCUCGUAUCUGACGCUGAGGCGCGAAAGCUUGGGUAGCAAACGGG
rnacentral:rRNA from 1 species